CCACAUGUAUUCUCAUGUAACUGCUGGUGAGUUAUUCCAAGCUUACCACAUGGUGGCGCUCUCCACAACUCAUGAGGGCGCUCUUCAUUGCUACCACAGAUUCAUGGUCCUUAUUGAUGACACAUGUCUGUGUCCUAAAUUUUUGACUCGUAUUUUGACUCAGUAUAAUUCGAUCAUCCUUCCACCCCAGGACCCGAGGACAGAGUUUUUACGUGAACUCUGCAAUCGCCACAGUCAUAUUUGGUAAUAAAUAAGCCAGGAAUAUACAGUGUUGAACUUGAAA